AGAGUUUGAUCCUGGCUCAGGAUGAACGCUAGCGACAGGCCUAACACAUGCAAGUCGAACGGGAUUUUCCAGCUUGCUGGAGAUGAGAGUGGCGCACGGGUGAGUAACGCGUAUGAAACCUGCCUUUUACAGGGGAACAGCCCAGAGAAAUUUGGAUUAAUGCCCCAUGGUCUUUAAGUAUCACAUGAUAUUGUAAGUAAAGCUCCGGCGGUAAAAGAUGGUCAUGCGUGACAUUAGCUUGUUGGCGGGGUAACGGCUCACCAAGGCAACGAUGUCUAGGGGUUCUGAGAGGAAGGUCCCCCACACUGGAACUGAGACACGGUCCAGACUCCUACGGGAGGCAGCAGUGAGGAAUAUUGGUCAAUGGGCGAUAGCCUGAACCAGCCAUGUCGCGUGCAGGAAGACGGCCCUACGGGUUGUAAACUGCUUUUGUACGGGAAGAACUGUGCCCACGUGUGGGCACUUGCCGGUACCGUACGAAUAAGGAUCGGCUAACUCCGUGCCAGCAGCCGCGGUAAUA
rnacentral:rRNA from 1 species